rnacentral:rRNA from 1 species
UUAGGAAUUUUGCACAAUGGGCGAAAGCCUGAUGCAGCAACGCCGCGUGGAUGAUGAAGGCCUUCGGGUCGUAAAAUCCUUUUCAGAGGGAAGAAUCGGACGGUACCUCUGGAAUAAGCCUCGGCUAACUACGUGCCAGCAGCCGCGGUAAUACGUAGGAGGCGAGCGUUAUCCGGAUUUACUGGGCGUAAAGAGCGUGUAGGCGGUUUCGUAAGUUGGGCGUGAAAGCCCCCGGCUUAACUGGGGAGGGUCGUUCAAUACUGCGGGACUUGAGGGUGGAUGAGGAGACCAGAAUUCCCGGUGUAGUGGUGAAAUGCGUAGAUAUCGGGAGGAAUACCAGUGGCGAAGGCGGGUCUCUAGGCCACUCCUGGCGCUGAGACGCGAAAGCGUGGGGAGCGAACGGA